AAUAGAUACCCCGGUAGUCCAUGCCGUAAACGUUGGGCGCUAGAUGUGGGGACCAUUCCACGGUUUCCGUGUCGCAGCUAGCGCAUUAAGCGCCCCGCCUGGGGAGUACGGCCGCAAGGCUAAAACUCAAAGGAAUUGACGGGGGCCCGCACAAGCGGCGGAGCAUGCGGAUUAAUUCGAUGCAACGCGAAGAACCUUACCAAGGCUUGACAUAUACGAGAACGCUCUAGAAAUAGAGAACUCUUUGGACACUCGUAUACAGGUGGUGCAUGGUUGUCGUCAGCUCGUGCCGUGAGAUGUUGGGUUAAGUCCCGCAACGAGCGCAACCCUCGUUCUAUGUUGCCAGCGGUUCGGCCGGGAACUCAUAGGAGACUGCCGGGGUCAACUCGGAGGAAGGUGGGGAUGACGUCAAAUCAUCAUGCCCCUUAUGUCUUGGGCUUCACGCAUGCUACAAUGGCCGGUACAAAGGGCUGCAAUACCGUAAGGUGGAGCGAAUCCCAAAAAGCCGGUCUCAGUUCGGAUUGAGGU
rnacentral:rRNA from 1 species